rnacentral:rRNA from 1 species
GCGUGAGUGAUGAAGCACCGAGGUGUGUAAAGCUCUGUUAGGAGGGAAGAACAGUCCCCUUGGGGGAUUUGACGGUACCUCCAGAGAAAGCUCCGGCUAACUCCGUGCCAGCAGCCGCGGUAACACGGGGGGAGCAAGCGUUGUCCGGAUUUACUGGGCGUAAAGAGCGUGUAGGCGGGGCGAUUAGUCAGAGGUGAAAUCUUGCGGCUUAACCGUAAACCUGCUUCUGAUACUGUCGCUCUUGAGUUCGGAAGAGGAAAGUGGAAUUCCUGGUGUAGCGGUGAAAUGCGU